CGUAUGGCGCAGCUACCAUGCAGUCGAGCGGUAACGCGGGGCAACCUGGCGACGAGCGGCGGACGGGUGAGUAACGCGUAGGAAUCUACCUGGUAGUGGGGGAUAGCCCGGGGAAACUCGGAUUAAUACCGCAUACGCCUUAAGGGGGAAAGCAGGGGAACUUCGGUCCUUGUGCUAUCAGAAGAGCCUGCGUUGGAUUAGCUAGUUGGUAGGGUAAAGGCCUACCAAGGCGACGAUCCAUAGCUGGUCUGAGAGGAUGAUCAGCCACACUGGGACUGAGACACGGCCCAGACUCCUACGGGAGGCAGCAGUGGGGAAUAUUGGACAAUGGGGGCAACCCUGAUCCAGCCAUGCCGCGUGUGUGAAGAAGGCCUUCGGGUUGUAAAGCACUUUAAGUGGGGAGGAAGGGGUGAUUAUUAAUACUGAUCAUCAUUGACGCUACCCACAGAAUAAGCACCGGCUAACUCUGUGCCAGCAGCCGCGGUAAUACAGAGGGUGCAAGCGUUAAUCGGAAUUACUGGGCGUAAAGCGCGCGUAGGCGGUUAUUUAAGUCGGGUGUGAAAGCCCCGGGCUCAACCUGGGAAUUGCAUCCGAUACUGAGUAACUAGAGUAUGAGAGAGGGAGGUAGAAUUCCACGUGUAGCGGUGAAAUGCGUAGAUAUGUGGAGGAAUACCGGUGGCGAAGGCGGCCUCCUGGCUUAAUACUGACGCUGAGGUGCGAAAGCGUGGGGAUCAAACAGGAUUAGAUACCCUGGUAGUCCACGCCGUAAACGAUGUCAACUAGCCGUCGGGCACCUUAGUGUGCUUGGUGGCGCAGCUAACGCGAUAAGUUGACCGCCUGGGGAGUACGGUCGCAAGAUUAAAACUCAAAUGAAUUGACGGGGGCCCGCACAAGCGGUGGAGCAUGUGGUUUAAUUCGACGCAACGCGAAGAAUCUUUACCAGGUCUUGACAUCCAGAGAAGUCGCUAGAGAUAGCUUCGUGCCUUCGGGAACUCUGAGACAGGUGCUGCAUGACUGU
rnacentral:rRNA from 1 species